AACUACUAUUCCAAAAACAAGGAUGCUUUCAAGCAACUUAUACACCGCUACUAGUGAGCUGACAAGGUUUCAAACAGGUACAUGAGAGAGAGAUAGA